UACGUAGGCAGCGAGCGUUGUUCGGAGUUACUGGGCGUAAAGCGUGCGUAGGCGGUGGUCCAAGUCUGGUGUGAAAUCUCCCGGCUCAACUGGGAGGGUGCGCCGGAAACUGGGCCGCUGGAGUACGGGAGAGGCAAGCGGAAUUCCAGGUGUAGCGGUGAAAUGCGUAGAUAUCUGGAGGAACACCCGUGGUGCAGACGGCUUGCUGGACCGUGACUGACGCUGAGGCACGAAAGCGUGGGUAGCAAGCAGG
rnacentral:rRNA from 1 species